GGAUAACACUUGGAAACAGGUGCUAAUACCGCAUAACAGUUUAUGCCGCAUGGCAUAAGAGUGAAAGGCGCUUUCGGGUGUCGCUGAUGGAUGGACCCGCGGUGCAUUAGCUAGUUGGUGAGGUAACGGCUCACCAAGGCCACGAUGCAUAGCCGACCUGAGAGGGUGAUCGGCCACACUGGGACUGAGACACGGCCCAGAUUCCUACGGGAGGCAGCAGUAGGGAAUCUUCGGCAAUGGACGAAAGUCUGACCGAGCAACGCCGCGUGAGUGAAGAAGGUUUUCGGAUCGUAAAACUCUGUUGUUAGAGAAGAACAAGGACGUUAGUAACUGAACGUCCCCUGACGGUAUCUAACCAGAAAGCCACGGCUAACUACGUGCCAGCAGCCGCGGUAAUACGUAGGUGGCAAGCGUUGUCCGGAUUUAUUGGGCGUAAAGCGAGCGCAGGCGGUUUCUUAAGUCUGAUGUGAAAGCCCCCGGCUCAACCGGGGAGGGUCAUUGGAAACUGGGAGACUUGAGUGCAGAAGAGGAGAGUGGAAUUCCAUGUGUAGCGGUGAAAUGCGUAGAUAUAUGGAGGAACACCAGUGGCGAAGGCGGCUCUCUGGUCUGUAACUGACGCUGAGGCUCGAAAGCGUGGGGAGCAAACAGGAUUAGAUACCCUGGUAGUCCACGCCGUAAACGAUGAGUACUAAGUGUUGGAGGGUUUCCGCCCUUCAGUGCUGCA
rnacentral:rRNA from 1 species